AACAAACGGCAGUUCUCCCAACUCAAAGAUCAGAGAGAAAAUCGAAAACAGUACGUCGUAUUGCAGCAGAGCAACUUGAGCUGAAAACCCCGGAGGGGUGGGCGAAAACAAGCACGCACCAAAGUCGCCCCGAAACGUUGCCACGUGUCGACUUGAUGAACCUUCCACAAAUAUCAUCUUGGCAUCUUUGGCCCGAUCAUCGCUUUACCCUGUCUUUGGAUUUGGUAUUUUUGCUCUGUUUUUGUCAUACCCUUUUCUCUUCCAUCAAAGAGGGAUCUUUAUAUUGAAAUGAAGGUUGCGAAGGGAAAAGCGUCAACAAGGAAGGACAAAUUGGAAGUAUCAAAGCCAGUUGAGGAGAGAAAGGUUGGAAAGCGAAAGGCAGCAGUUAAGGCUGAUAAGAGUCACUUGAAAUGGGCCAAGAAAACAAAAUUGGACAAGAAAGAUCCUAACAAACCAAAGAGGCCUGCUACUGCCUUUUUUGUUUUUCUUGAAGAGUUCAGAAAGACUUACAAGGAAGAGCAUCCCAACGAGAAGGCUGUUUCAGUUGUAAGCAGCUUCCUAAUAUUAUGUGUUGGGAAAGCAGGGGGUGGGAAGUGGAAAUCCAUGUCUGCUGCGGAUAAAUCUCCAUAUGAAGUGAAAGCUGCGCAAAAGAAGUCAGAUUAUGAGAAGCUUAUGAUAGCAUACAACAAAAAACAGGAAAGUGUCAAUGAUGAUGAAGAUGAACAGUCAAAAUCUGCACUGAAUGAUGAAGAUGAUGGGGAAAGUGGGGAGGUAGCUACACUCUAAAACUCCAUCUUUACUGAAUGCAUGAGAGAACUACCCUUCUGCCUAGGUGGAGAGUUGCGAACUUGUGAACUUAUUUGGCCUGCUGUUGGUAAAAACUGAAAGGGGCAAUUGGUUUGAAGAAGAUGAUGACGAGGAUGAGGACGAUGACUGAAUCUUGCAUGCCAUGUAAUUUGAUUAUGUGAAGUGUCCAGUGCACGAGCUAUAGACCUUGUACUGUUGUACAUUUGGGCAUGUUUUUAUAAAGGUUGAUUACCUGAGAUUGAAAAUGCAACCCUUACAGACUGCUUAUGUAACCACCCUCGUCAGUUGAAAGUUCACGUGUAUCUAUAAUAAUUCCUCAUCUGUUUCUUGUA